rfam:Deltaproteobacteria bacterium RIFOXYD12_FTLL_56_24 rifoxyd3_full_scaffold_745, whole genome shotgun sequence.
GGGGGCGAAACGGAUUCGACGGGGAUAUGUAAGCUCAGGUUGCAUGCCGAGGUUUCUACCAACCUCGUAAAACAGGUAGAGCAAAAUAUAG